rfam:Aedes albopictus isolate Foshan contig146362, whole genome shotgun sequence.
UAGCCUAGUGGUGAAGGCUAUGGAUCGCCAAUCCGGAGAUGGCGGGUUCGAUUCCCGU